GGGGAAUAUUGGACAAUGGGCGAAAGCCUGAUCCAGCCAUGCCGCGUGUGUGAAGAAGGUCUUCGGAUUGUAAAGCACUUUAAGUUGGGAGGAAGGGUUUCUGGCUAAUAUCCAGGAAUUUUGACGUUACCGACAGAAUAAGCACCGGCUAACUUCGUGCCAGCAGCCGCGGUAAUACGUAGGGUGCGAGCGUUAAUCGGAAUUACUGGGCGUAAAGCGUGCGCAGGCGGUUUCGUAAGACAGAGGUGAAAUCCCCGGGCUCAACCUGGGAACUGCCUUUGUGACUGCGAGGCUAGAGUACGGCAGAGGGGGGUGGAAUUCCACGUGUAGCAGUGAAAUGCGUAGAGAUGUGGAGGAACACCGAUGGCGAAGGCAGCCCCCUGGGCCGAUACUGACGCUCAUGCACGAAAGCGUGGGUAGCAAACA
rnacentral:rRNA from 1 species